UUAAGUCCUGGGAAUAACUUGUAGUGUGUGCGUCCCCCCAGGCUGCCGCAACAACAUCUCAUAGACCAGGCUGCUUACAAACAACAGAAAUCCAUUUCUCUCCGUCCUGGAGGCUGGAAGGCAAAGAUCAAGGGACAUAGACUUAGGAGGUUUGUAAGGCGAGUGAACUGAUCAGGAGACAAGCAGAGACAGGCGGGAGGGCGUUUCCGCAUACGCAGGAGCCCCCUGGAGAUGAAAGAUCCCGGAACAGAGACGCGAGGAGGCGCUUUCGUCAGAGGCCUUCCAGCCAGACCAACUCCAUCUUGAACAGGGGCUGGGAAAAAUGGGGCUGAGACCUGCGCGGCUGCAGCCCAGGAGGCUGGGUGUUCCUCGUCACAGAAUGACACAGGGGGUCCCAAGACACAGGACACAGAGACCCCGCUGAUAAAACAGGACGUGGCUAAGAAGCUGGCCAAAGUCCACCAAAACCAAGAUGGCGACGGACGUGACCUCUGGUCAUUAUUGACAAGAUGCGACGGACAUGACCUCUGGUCAUCCUCGAUGCUCAUUAUGUGCUAAUUAUAAUACAGUGGCAUGCUAAGAGACACUCCCACCAGCGCCACCACAGUUUACAGAUGCCAUGCGGACGCCUGGAAGUUCCCCUCUAUGGUCUAAAAAGGAGAGGAACCCUCAGUUCCAAGAACUCUCCGCCCCCUUUCCUAGAAAGCUCAUGAAUAAUCCACCCCUUGUUUUGCAUAUGUUCAAUAAAUUACCAUAAAAAUAGCCAGCCGGCGGCCCCGGCAGCUCUGCCUAUGGAGUGGUUACCCUUUUGUUUCUUGACUUCACUAAUAAACUUG
rnacentral:lncRNA from 1 species